rnacentral:rRNA from 1 species
UACAGAGGACUCAAGCGUUGUUCGGAUUCAUUGGGCGUAAAGGGCGCGUAGGUGGCGCCGUAAGUCGGGUGUGAAAUUUCGGAGCUUAACUCCGAAACUGCAUUCGAUACUGCGGUGCUUGAGGACUGGAGAGGAGACUGGAAUUCAUGGUGUAGCAGUGAAAUGCGCAGAUAUCAGGAGGAACACCAAUAGCGAAGGCAGCUCGCUGGGACGUAACUGACACUGAGAUGCGAAAGCGUGGGGAGCAAACAGG